UACGUAGGGGGCAAGCGUUGUCCGGAAUCAUUGGGCGUAAAGAGCGUGUAGGCGGCUCGGUAAGUCCGCUGUGAAAGCCCAGGGCUCAACCCUGGAAUGCCGGUGGAAACUGCCUGGCUAGAGUCCGGAAGAGGAGAGUGGAAUUCCUGGUGUAGCGGUGAAAUGCGCAGAUAUCAGGAAGAACACCCGUGGCUAAGGCGGCUCACUGGUCCGGUACUGACGCUGAGGUGCGAAAGCGUGGGGAGCGAACAGG
rnacentral:rRNA from 1 species